rnacentral:rRNA from 1 species
AGUGAACGCUGGCGGUAGGCCUAACACAUGCAAGUCGAACGGCAGCACAGUAAGAGCUUGCUCUUACGGGUGGCGAGUGGCGGACGGGUGAGGAAUACAUCGGAAUCUACUUUUUCGUGGGGGAUAACGUAGGGAAACUUACGCUAAUACCGCAUACGACCUACGGGUGAAAGCAGGGGAUCUUCGGACCUUGCGCGAUUGAAUGAGCCGAUGUCGGAUUAGCUAGUUGGCGGGGUAAAGGCCCACCAAGGCGACGAUCCGUAGCUGGUCUGAGAGGAUGAUGAGCCACCGUGGAACGGAGACACGGUCCAGACUCCUACGGGGGGCAGCAGUGGGGAUUAUUGGACAGGGGCCGCAAGCCUGACCCAGCCAUCCCGGGGGGGGGAAAAAGCCUUUGGGUUUGUAAAGCCUUUUUGUUGGGAAAAAAAAACAGCAGGUUAAUCCCCCCCUGUUCUGCCGUUACCCAAAAAAUAACCCCCGCCUACCUCCGUC